CCUACGGGUGGCAGCAGUGAGGAAUAUUGGUCAAUGGGCGCUAGCCUGAACCAGCCAAGUAGCGUGAAGGAUGACUGCUCUAUGGGUUGUAAACUUCUUUUAUAUGGGAAUAAAGUGCAGUAUGUAUACUGCUUUGCAUGUACCUUAUGAAUAAGGACCGGCUAACUCCGUGCUAGCAGCCGCGGUAAUACGGAGGUUCCGAGCGUUAUCCGGAUUUAUUGGGUUUAAAGGGAGCGUAGGCGGGUUGUUAAGUCAGAUGUGAAAGUUUGCGGCUCAACCGUAAAAUUGCAGUUGAUACUGGCAACCUAGAGUACAGGAGAGGUAGGCGGAAUUCGUGGUGUAGCGGUGAAAUGCUUAGAUAUCACGAAGAACUCCGAUUGCGAAGGCGGCAUACCGGCUCCACACUGACGCUGAGGCACGAGAGCAUGGGUAUCGAACAGGAUUAGAUACCCCAGUAGUC
rnacentral:rRNA from 1 species